AUGGUUGAACAGAGUAAACUCACAGUGGGGACACAGCUACCUCGGUCCCAAACAGGCAACUCCAUCACCAGGUCCACAAGAGCUGAGGUUGAGGGAGUUCCCGUCGUGGCACAGUGGUUAACCAAUCCGACUAGGAACCAUGAGGUUGCGGGUUCGAUCCCUGGCCUUGCUCAGUGGGUUAAGGAUCCGGUGUUGCCGUGAGCUGUGGUGUUGGUUGUAGAUGAGGCUCGGAACUGGUGUUACUGUGGCUCUGGCAUAGGCCAGUGGCUACAGCUCCGAUUAGACCCCUAGCCUGGGAACCUCCAUCUGCCUCGGGUGUGGCCCUAGAAAAGACGGAAAAAAAAAAAAGCUGAGGUUGAGGCCAGGAACUUUUGCAGCUUAGAGCGCAAGCAGAAAGCAUGGGCUUUCUUUCCACCUCCUCUCCAACCUUAGGCCAAGUCCCCAAAUCUGCAGCUGGGAAGCUGAGGCCCAGGUGGGGAAACUGAGGCAAGAGAGCAGGGACUUGCCCAAGGUCAAGCAAUGAAUCAAUGACAGAUACAAACUUGAACCCCCACUCCAGACUCUCAGGCCAGUGUUCUCUGCCCUUUCAGGGUCGCCUCCUUUCCCAAAUUUGUUUCUGGUAAGCCCAGGAGGACUGCAGGCUUUCUAUUCAUUCACUCAAUAAACAUUUACCCAGGAGUUCCCGUCAUGGCUCUGUGGAAACAAAUCCAACUAGGAACCACGAGGUUGCAGGUUCGAUCCCUGGCCUUGCUCGGUGGGUUAAGGAUCUGGCAUUGCUGUGAGCUGUGGUGUAGGCUGCAGAUGCUGCUCAGAUCUGAUAUUGCCAUGGCUUUGGCGGAGGCCAGCAGCUGUAGCUCCAAUUCAACCCCUAGCCUGGGAACCUCCAUAUGCCACAGGUGCAGCCCUAAAACACAAAAACAAAAACAAAAAAGACAACAUUUACCAGACACCAGCCUAGUGGCAAACUCUGGGGCUACUGUGGAGAACAGAACAUACCCUGUCUACACCUUCAGGAUUUCAGUCUAGAGCACGCCGAGCGGGUCAUGCAGGGACUUGUGGGCCACAGCGGGGACUUCGGAAGACCAGUGGAGACUCUCAGAAGUGUUAGCUGGCAGGGCUGUCCACCUGACCCUGCACGCUUGUCACACUCAUCCUGUGUUAGUGGCCUUUCUCCAGCCCAAUGGGGAGGGGAUAGUGGCUGUCCCUGGGGCUUGGAAGCCAGCAUUAGCCACCCCUCUUCAGCAAGCCCCUGCUGAUGUCAGGCCUGGAGUUCCCCUAGGACUGUGGCUCUGGCUGGUAGGGGGAGGCUAGUGGGCAGUUGAUCUGUAUUCAAUUAUAGCUUUGAGUCCUGAGGAACGCCCCUGCCUGCAGGGCAGCUGGGAGGACAACUGCGACCCAGCUGAAGCAGCAGGAGCUCCUUUGGGGAACUCUGCAGGGUAAAAGGCUCAAUGACCCCAUAAUCGGAGUCAUGAAGAUAAAUCACACCUUGUGCUGCCUGCCCAUUUCUUUCUCUGUCCAGCAGCCAACAUCAGGCAGCUAGAAAUUCCUCUUUAGACAGCAAGAGCAAAGCAUGCUAAAUAUGAUGAAAACAGGUGAAAUCUUUCAAUUAUCGGUUUCUGGAAUCUCAGUAUUGAAAAGAACCUUAGUCUUCCAGCCUCUCAGGACUCCUCUCAGUGGUGAGUAUUCUGAAAGGAGUAUCUAAACCACUUGCAUGCCUCUGGCAGACAGGCAGCUCACUACCUCUUGAGAGAAUCAGUCCACAUGUUAACAUUUCAAGUCUUUUAAGUUUGUCCUUCUAUUGGGUUGAAACCUUCUUUUAUGUCGUUUCCAUGUCUUGGUUCAAGUUCACUUUUGCCACACACAACGGACCCUCCUAAGCAGGCUGGUCUUGGACAAAUCAUUUUGCUCUGACCCCCAUUCUCCCUUUCUAUUGUGACGCCUAUUACAGUGUUUAAGUUGUUCAGUAGGAGGCUGGCUAUUCUGCCUGCAGCCAGGCUGAGAUCUGACCUGGCCUCCAGCCACCAGUGCCCUGCCUGGAGCCUGCACAGAGCGGGUGCCAGCAGCUGAAAGAAAGCAGAACAGAACAGGGCUUCUCCCGCCCCUAAUCAGCCCCCAAGGGAGCACCCUGUGUGGAUGACGGUGGCUAGAUGCCAAAUGAAGUGAAAUAUCUCCUUUUCUCAGGCUGUUAACUUUUUUUCUUGUUUAAGGAAGGGGAGGAUAAUGACAUUUAGCACUUUACAACUCAGCAGUGAAAUGAGCAGAUGGAAACAGAUUCCCAGCAUCGUGGGCAUGCUUCCAGCGAGACGCCCUCCCCAGCUCUGGCUCCAGCUCUGUGGGGUCCAAGUUACUGGCAAGCCUUGCUGAUGGGGUUGGGGACACCACCCACUCCCUCCUGCCCCAGCUCCUCCCACAGCAGUGCCUCCAGCCCCCACCUCCCGCUUCUUGCCUCUGCUCACCCUAUUCCACCUCUCUGGAGCGCCUUUCCCACCUGCCGGGUCUUUUUGGAAUAUGACCCCUCUAGUUUGGAGGAGCAGAGGUAAGGGGGGCCCUUGGAGAGACAGGGGUGAGCAAAAAAUGCCUGUGGAGCUGUGGAAAAACUCCAGCUGGCCUCUAGGUGGCCACAGAAGAAUGAUUUGCACAGGGAAGUUUCCCUCAGGGAGGAGAAAAAAAAAAUCAUCAUUAUUCUCAUCAAAACUAUGUACUGAGAACUCACCGUGGGCCCAUCCCUGGGACCUGUGCUUCCUAUGCCUCAUUCCAUUUAACCUUCGGAAGCCAGGGAGCAAUGAUUCCGCACUGUUCCCAUUUUACAGAUGAAGAAACUGAGGCUCAGGGAGGUUCAAUAACUUCUCCAAGGCCCCUCCCCAUUGAAUGGCAGGCAGGCGAAAGGGGACAAAUAAAUGGCUUUUUAACUAUUUGGGGUUUAGAUUACUUUCUUUGCUGUCACAUGUUGCUCCGUAUACUGCACACUUCAAAAACAUCCAAAUGCACUUUUCAUGUUUAUGUUUCCAAACCAGUCCAUAGCUCUGUGCUGGGGUUUGUUCUCUUUGGCAUGGAAACGGUUUCAUUCAACUGUAGCUCCCCUGCGCGUUUUAUUUGUCAUCCACAAAGUAAAAGACACAAACAGAAGAGCCCCGGCUGCGGGGGGCGAGCCCUUGCUUCCACCUGCCCAGUCCCCUGGCUGCUGGGACUCGCACCUCUUCUUCCUGGGCUGCUAACCACGCCGUCCCCAUUGCAGGUGGUGGCAGAGGGCUGCCCAUCAUAACGCCUUGCCCCCUGACUGCAGAUGCUGACCUAUGACCCAGGUUGGACCAUGCAGUGUCCUUCCCAGAGAGUUUUCCCACUGGGUGCAAGCGAAGGAAGACGUUCUUUGUUUGUCCGCUGGAACAGCUCUUGGGGACUGUCCCUGUUGGGAUUAAGCUUAGCUGUGGGCAUCAAAGACCUGAAAACAGUAUCUUAAACAAGAACAAGAAGGUGUGUGUUUAUCUUGCAAAGCCAGCUCAAGUAUCACCUCAGGGCCUGCCAUGUCCCCUCUUCCUGCCCCUGGAUACAGGCUAAGAUCAUCCUGCUGCAAGCACCUCCACUGUCACCUGGCUGGAAGCGCUGCUGCUGCCUCUGUGCGUAUCCUUCUACCGAUGGAGAAUGGAAACUGGAGGAUAAAUGCCUGAGCCUCAUAAGCAGGGGUGGGGUGAGGGGAGAGGUCCCACUGGGAUUGAGCCCCCCCCCCCCGUUACCCUUAGCAGUAACCUGCUGGUUCAUUAUCAGACCUUAUAUUCCUUUCCUGCCCUUCCCUCUCUCACUUCCCUACUCUCCUAGCAGGGUUUCCUGAGGUCACCUCUCCAAGAAACUGUGUGCCUUUAGAUCCUUGACUCAGGGCCUGCUUCUUGGGGAGCCCAGCUUUUGACACCCUUGAAGUCUUCCCUCAUCCCAGGAGGAGAACUCUGCUGCAUCCCAGUGCUCCCGGGGUAACUUGUUUGUGCCUCUAAUACAGUACACCGUGGCCUAUCUUGUUGUAUUUAUUAAGCGUAAACCAGGAAGGAAGGAAUAAGCACUUAUUGAGUACCAGCUGUGCACCAGGCACUGUACCAGAUGUCUUGUCCUCAGUCAUUCAAUUAUUCACUAAUUAAUUCAUUCAACAAAUCUUUAUUGAGCAUUUAUAACGCACGAGACAAUGAUCUAGGCCAGGGGCUGGCAAGCUAUGGUCCAUGGGCUGAAUUAGGCCCCCCACCUGUUUUUGCAAAUAAAGUUUUAUUGAAACACAACUGUGCUCAUUUGCUUACAUUUUUUUCAUGGCAGCUUUCAUGUUAAUAACCGCAGAGUUGAGCAGUUUCGACAGAGACCAUAUGGCCUGCAAAGCAUAAAAUAUUUACUGUCUGGCCCUUUGCAGAAAAAGUUCGGUGCCCCUUGGAAUAGGCACUAGGGCUGCUACAGUGAACAAAACAAAAAUCCCCGCCCUCCUGGAUGGAGCUUACAUGCUCCUGGGGUGGAGUCAGGGGAUGGGGGGGACACGUAACACAGUAAACCUCAAACUAGAUUCUUAGUAUAUAUUAAAUGAUGAUAGAUGCUAUGGAGAAAAAAAAAUAGAGCAAGAGAGUAUCAGGAGUGCUGGGGAUAGGAGUGGGGAUUGUGGUGAAAAUUAGAGUGUCGGGAAGUCUUGGCUGUGAACAUGACGGUUGAGCAAAGACCUGAAGGAGGUGAAGGAGUGAGCCACGUGGACCUGGAAGAGCCAUCAGGUAGUGGAGCAGCAGGUGCGAGGGCUGUACUGGAAUAUUAACGAUAGUUUAUGCUACAUUGAGUGCUAUGUACCAGGUGCCCUUCAAGUGCUCUACAUGCAUAAUCUCAUUUAAUUACUUAAAAAUCAUCAUCUUGUUACAUCUCUAAUCUUACAAAAGAAUGAUUUGAAUAUAUUUCUUUCUCUUUUUUUUUCUUUUUUGUCUUUUUAGGGCCGCACCCAUGGCAUAUGAAGGUUCCCAGGCCAGGGGUCCAAUCCCAGCUGUAGCCGCCAGCCUACACCACAGCCAGAGCAACUCAGGAACCGAGCCCCAUCUUCGGCCCACAGCUCAUGGCAAUGCCGAAUCCUUAACCCACUGAUGGAGGCCAGGGAUCGAACCUGUGUCUUCAUGGAUGCUAGUCGGAUUUGUUAACUGCUGAGCCACGACAGGAACUCCUAUUUCUUUUUUUUUCAGGUUUUUUUUUUUUUUUUUUGGCUUUUUAGGGCUAUACUUAUGGCAUAUGGAAUUUCCCAGGCUAGGGUUCCAAUCAGAGCUACAGCUUUUGGCCACAGUCACAGCCACAGCCACAGCAACUUGGGAUCUGAGCUAUGCCUGCAACUUACACCGCAGCUCAUGGCAAUGCCAGAUACUUAACCCUCUGAGCAGGGCUGGGGGUUGACCCCACAUCCUCACGGAUAAUAGGUCAGGUUCUUAACGCCCUGAGCCUCAACAAGAACUCCAGGAGACUUGUGAGGUUUUAAUCAUAAAUGAACUCUAUAAUUCAAGGCACUCAAUAAAUGGCUGAUCAAUGAAUUGAUUGAAAGGUCACCCAGGAAGUUACUGGCAGUGAGAGGACUAUAUUCUGGUCUCCACCACCCUGGACUUUCUCAGUGAGGAGCAAAUCUACUGUGACCAUGGCUGGCUUGAGGGGACCCUGCAGCUCCCGUCUGCAGAGCCUCCUGCGAACUCUCGGCAAAAGGCAGCAGUUCUCGGCUUACCUCCCAAGGGGGUCGUGAGCACUAAUUAGUUACCAUUGGUAAAGUGCUCUGAAGAUGUGGGGGUGUAUAAACAUGGCAAGUCAUUAGGCCUCUCCACACCACUAUGCUCUAGAGCCAGGAACUACUAAUUGAGAAAUAAUUAACACCUCAGGGUGCAGAGGAAGGAUGCCUGGCUCUUCCAGGAUUGGAAGGGAUGUAAGAAAGUGCAUAAAGAGCCAGGAGAAGUCUAAGGCUGCGUUGGAUCCUGAAGAUUUUUCUCCUUUUGUCUCUAGAGAGGAGGCAUGGGGACCUUGGGGACUGCCUUCUUUGGGGAAAGCCCAGAGCACAGAGCUGGGCUGCAGUGGCUGAAUGAUGCUCUUAGAGCAGAAGCGCUCAGGUCCAGCCCAGGUUCUGCCCCACCUUCCAGCUGGUGAGCAGAUGCCAGUCAUGGAGCCCACCAAGCUGUAUUUUUCUCGGCUGUAAGACCAGGACGAUGACAUGCGUCUCCCAUCUCCCCUCCCUGCACCAGGCUAUCUGAAGCCCUUCUUCUAGGCCAGGGAUCGAGCCCAGGCUUCAUGUUAGGAUCAAGGAGGAGUCUAAAGUACUGAUGCCCAGGCCCACCCCAGAUCAAAGACCAGCAUCGUGGGGCUGGGACCGAGCGAUUCCCAGUGCGGUCAAGUUUAAGAACCACUGCUUUGGUUUGUUUAUCAGGCACGGUGUUGGGAGCGGAGGGAAACAAAGAUGUAAACCCUACCCCAUCCCACGCCCCUCACACUGGCUCAUCAUUUCCUGAUUCAGGGCCUGCGUGUGUCCUGGACCUUCCAAUCCCCUCCCACUGCCAUUCUUGUGUUGCUAACCUCCACUCAUCCUUCAGGGUCGGCUUGAAGCUCACCUCCUCAGGGAAGCCCUCUUUCCCAGCAUUCCUAGAGGACUGUUCUCAGCCCCCUCAGCCCACCCUAUUACACCACGGAUCACACAGUAUUUUUCCUGGCAGAUCCUGGUGGGCUGAGAGCUUCUUGGGGCCAGUAUCAGAACCACCAGGGUCUUGCACUGGGUCGUGUACAUUUUAGGCGCUGAAUAAACUAUAGCGGUUACCAGUUAGGUAGCGUCAUAUGAUACACAGCUCCCACCUCAGGGCGUUUGGCACUUUUUGUUCUCUGUGUCUAGAACAUUCUUUCCCCCCCCCCAUAUCUGCAAGGCCCUCUCAGCUCCUUCAGGUCUUUGCUAAACUGUCACCUACUCCAUCAGACUUUCCUUGAUCCUUUUAUUUUAAAUGGCAACCACAGACCGCCAAUGCUUUCCCUUGUCUAAUUAAUUUUUCUUCACAGUAUUUAACACCAUCUGACUAAUGGGUCCUGUCUUUACAUAAAAUUUUGACCAUUUGUGCAUCAUGGAGUUUUUGCAUUAUUUUUAAAAACUUAAUUGCAUUAAAAUACCACUUAUCUUGACCCCUGAGAUCUUUGGCCUCCCUUUAACUUUCACUGUAUUGAUUUAUUGACUAGAAUGUAAGCUACACUGAAUGCAGGGAACCCUGUCUGUUUUGUUCACCAUUCCCCGUUUCUUCAAGGGGCUGGGACACGGCAGCUGUUCAAAAAAUAUUUUGUGAAUAAAAGUUUGUCUUAGUGUCUUAAAGAUGAAAUAAAGGUGCUUCAUUUC
rnacentral:lncRNA from 1 species